rnacentral:sRNA from 1 species
UGGAACAACAGAAGGAGCGAAUUGAGGUCUGUAGUUGAGCCCAUCUCUUCGGAGGAACUCUGUUGUAACCAUUCUUUUGCAUAUUUCAGCUUGUAUCUCUUGUCAGGGCAAUGCCUUUGCCUCAUACCUCAGCACUGGCCUUUCCUCAGUUCCAAGCCUUGGGUCUGUGUUCCUGGGGAUGGGGUGUGCAGCCUUGCCUGGACAUUUGGUUAUGAGAAGGGAAACCAAAGAGACCUGUUCUAUCAAGCUAACCCCUUCUCUCCUCUCUAGGAUGGAAGACCAGUUUGCAGCCUUGCACGAAAAUCCUGACAUAAUUAUUGCCACGCCCGGACGGUUGGUGCAUGUGGCUGUGGAAAUGAGCCUGAAGCUGCAGAGUGUGGAAUACGUGGUGUUCGAUGAAGCUGACCGGUAAGGCUGCAG